AUAAGUUAAAUGUGCCUUGAUUAGUGACUCGGUUCAGCUGUGAUCUGGUCUUCAACCCCAUCCCUCACUACCCGUUACCUUUUAUGUAGGCCAACAAUUUUUUUUCUUCACUUUCCAGACGGUGAAAGUCCCAACUGAACAGCAGGAAAAGGAAGACAACGAGAAUGACUCACAGAGCCAAAGUCAUGAAUCUGAUGACGUCAUCUACCAGGUCAUCCCUCGCCAAGCACAGGGAGGCGUCUAGGGAGGCACCUAGACAUGGGGCUUCUUCCUGGAAGGUGCACGCUGGGAUCGUGAACAACAUUGCUUGGCGGAGAUGUCAGCCAAGCAGCUACAUGACCAGUUACCUAUCAUCCUUUUCCAACCUGCUGCCCUCCCAGACAUGUCACACCAUGAGGGUGUGAGCUGUAAAUAUGAAGACCAGGCAGAAGAGAAAGGCAUGUACCACUGCCCUGUGUACCGCACCAGCGAGCGGAGUGGCACACUCUCCACCACAGGACAUUCCUCCAAUUAUAUCCUUGAUUUGAUCCUGCCUUCCUCCCUCCCAUGCCACCACUGGGUCAGUCGUGCAGCAGCAGCCCUUACCCAAUUAGAUGACUGAACCCCAUGUAUUUAUCAGCAAGUCAUCUUCAACUAACUGAAUGACUGAAGAUCAUUUGCAUACGUCACCCAACUGAAUGGUCUAUACUCUACUAUGAAUGAGCUGGAUGACUGAACUCCAUCUACAUGCCACCAUUUCUCAGUUGGAUAAGUGAACAUCAUCUUAAUUUGUAAUCACUCAGAAGGAUGAGAACUUCGUAACACAUUACUACCAUCCAGUUGGAAGCCAAACCAACAUCCACACCAUAUGACAACAGACUGGCUAACCUAAAGUAAACCAUAUCUUCUCCAACUAAA
rnacentral:lncRNA from 1 species